AGUGAACGCUGGCGGUAGGCCUAACACAUGCAAGUCGAACGGCAGCACAGGGGAGCUUGCUCUCUGGGUGGCGAGUGGCGGACGGGUGAGGAAUACAUCGGAAUCUACUCUGUCGUGGGGGAUAACGUAGGGAAACUUACGCUACUACCGCAUACGACCUACGGGUGAAAGCAGGGGACCUUCGGGCCUUGCGCGAUUGAAUGAGCCGAUGUCGGAUUAGCUAGGUGGCGGGGUAAAGGCCCACCAAGGCGACGAUCCGUAGCUGGUCUGAGAGAAUGAUCAGCCACACUGGAACUGAGACACGGUCCAGACUCCUACGGGAGGCAGCAGUGGGGAAUAUUGGACAAUGGGCGCAAGCCUGAUCCAGCCAUACCGCGUGGGUGAAGAAGGCCUUCGGGUUGUAAAGCCCUUUUGUUGGGAAAGAAAUCCAGCUGGCUAAUACCCGGUUGGGAUGACGGUACCCAAAGAAUAAGCACCGGCUAACUUCGUGCCAGCAGCCGCCGUAA
rnacentral:rRNA from 1 species